rnacentral:rRNA from 1 species
GAUGAACGCUGGCGGCGUGCCUAAUACAUGCAAGUCGAGCGAACAGACGAGGAGCUUGCUCCUCUGACGUUAGCGGCGGACGGGUGAGUAACACGUGGAUAACCUACCUAUAAGACUGGGAUAACUUCGGGAAGCCGGAGCUAAUACCGGAUAAUAUAUUGAACCGCAUGGUUCAAUAGUGAAAGACGGUUUUGCUGUCACUUAUAGAUGGAUCCGCGCCGCAUUAGCUAGUUGGUAAGGUAACGGCUUACCAAGGCAACGAUGCGUAGCCGACCUGAGAGGGUGAUCGGCCACACUGGAACUGAGACACGGUCCAGACUCCUACGGGAGGCAGCAGUAGGGAAUCUUCCGCAAUGGGCGAAAGCCUGACGGAGCAACGCCGCGUGAGUGAUGAAGGUCUUCGGAUCGUAAAACUCUGUUAUUAGGGAAGAACAAAUGUGUAAGUAACUAUGCACGUCUUGACGGUACCUAGUCAGAAAGCCACGGCUAACUACGUG